UAGAUGAAAAAUGGAUGAAGAAUGGAAAAGCAAACCCUAGAAAAGAUGAAAAGAAGCCUAAGCAUCCAAGAGAUCCUCUCCAGAGAGUGAAAUUAGGUCUGGCCGCCCCCUUCUGUCAAAAGGGCUAUUUAUAGGUGAGGAGUGCAACAGAAAACAGGCCCAAGCCUAGUAGACAACCGCCCGGCGGAACAAAUGUGGCGCCCGGCGGUUUCCCUCAAAUCGCACUACCGCCCGACUGCAGGGGUCUACCGCCCGGCGGUUUGCCUCUAAUCGCAAAUCCGCCCAGCGCCCAUGCCAGGUGCCUACUCUUCGCCCUAGACCGCCCGGCUGUGUAAUUUGCCGCGGGGCGGUGCGUCGACUCUUCAAUUCUUCAAUUUUCUUCUAUUUUCUUGAGUCUACGACCUUUAUCUUUAACUCCAUUCUUCACUUUCUCAAAAUCGCUACAAAACAAUGCAAAACAAGCAUAAUAUCACUAAAAAUAGCUUUUGACUCUCUACAGACUCAUUUAUUGAGUUUUGCUUGAUUCUAAGCUCAUUCUAAGUAGUAAAGGGCGUAAUUUGGUCUAAAAUGACAUAUGAAAAUAACUGUUUUUCAACCUUCAUCAAUACCCCACUUAUUCAAAAUGUAAGCACAACUCUCUUCUUCACCAAUCCCACUUAUUCCCAACUUCUUCCCUUUUCAUUGAGCUCAAUUUCAUGCUUUUCUUCUUUUUUUUUUCUUUUUAUCAUGCAUUUUUAUUUCUCAACAUUUGAGCUCAAUGCUUUACAAUUGCUUUUCAAUUUUCCCCCAUACAACCCCAAACUUGAACCUUUU
rnacentral:lncRNA from 1 species